GGUGGCUCAGUGGUAGAGCGCGUGCCUUGCAUGCAGGAAGCCUUGGGUUCAAUUCCUCAGCACCA
rfam:Dipodomys ordii contig_25308, whole genome shotgun sequence.